AGACUCUGUGCUUCUCUCAGGCCACCAGGUGGGAUCAGCAGGAGAGGAAGGAAUCCAGGACAGAAAGGUAGAAGAUGCCGGGAUGGUGGAGUGCCUGCAUUUAAGAGGAAGAUUUAUUGGACUCGCAGCAUCCACUGUGAACCUUCUACAACCACAUUAGCUAACAUCUGUUGGAAAAUGUCGAGACGCAGGGCUGAAGACAUGCGCGCAGAAUACACAACAGGAUCGCCCCUGGGAUUUGCUUGUGCACCUCUCUUCUUACUGAGCCAUCUCCUCGAUGCAGAAUUUCUCCAUAUCUUCCUACCUGCCCUGAUGAUUCCUUCUAGGCACUUUGCAUAG
rnacentral:lncRNA from 12 species